rnacentral:lncRNA from 1 species
GGUUAUGAAGUUUUUCAUGGCACCGACACAUUAUUGAGCAGUAGCGCAUCAGAUUUAUUGAUGUCUAUGACCAGUGUAUAUCUCUACUUGAGGAAUUCUCCAAAGAUCCAGAGCCGAUUGUUUCAUAGAGCUGUGAAGUUGCUCUAAACAUACUGGAUUUUGAACGAUCCGGCAAACCAUUCGAGUACAUCUUUAUGUAGGCACCUCAAUUGCAGGAGGCAGCAUGAUGGUUUCACUUUGUUGUGUGUUUUGUUACCAUU